AUUGAACGCUGGCGGCAUGCCUUACACAUGCAAGUCGAACGGCAGCAUGGAGGAGCUUGCUCCUCUGAUGGCGAGUGGCGAACGGGUGAGUAAAGCAUCGGAACGUACCGUGUAGUGGGGGAUAACGUAGCGAAAGUUACGCUAAUACCGCAUACGCACUGAGGUGGAAAGCAGGGGAUCGCAAGACCUUGCGCUAUACGAGCGGCCGGUGUCAGCUUAGCUAGUUGGUAGGGUAAGGCCUACCAAGGCGACGAUCUGUAGCGGGUCUGAGAGGAUGAUCCGCCACACUGGGACUGGGACACGGCCCAGACUCCUACGGGAGGCAGCAGUGGGGAAUUUUGGACAAUGGGGGAAACCCUGAUCCAGCCAUGCCGCGUGAGUGAAGAAGGCCUUCGGGUUGUAAAGCUCUUUCGGCUGGGAAGAAAUCGCACAGGCUAAUACUCUGUGUGGAUGACGGUACCAGCAUAAGGAGCACCGGCUAACUACGUGCCAGCCGCCGCCGUAACAC
rnacentral:rRNA from 1 species